rnacentral:misc_RNA from 1 species
UGGCUCUGGCAUCGAUGAAGAACGCAGCGAAAUGCGAUAAGUAGUGUGAAUUGCAGAAUUCAGUGAAUCAUCGAAUCUUUGAACGCACAUUGCGCCCCUUGGUAUUCCAUGGGGCAUGCCUGUUCGAGCGUCAUCUACACCCUCAAGCUCUGCUUGGUGUUGGGCGUCUGUCCCGCCUUUGCGCGUGGACUCGCCCCAAAUUCAUUGGCAGCGGUUCUGGCCUCCUCUCGCGCAGCACAUUGCGCUUCUCGAGUUGUUGCGAACCGCGUCCAGCAAGUGACACCGUCUUUGACCUCGGAUCAGGUAGGGAUACCCGCUGA